AAUUAUGUGCCUGAUUAAAAGGGUUAACUUGAUAGGUUAAAUAAUGAGAAAUUUUUAUUU
rnacentral:tRNA from 1 species